rnacentral:rRNA from 1 species
UUCCGGUUGAUCCUGCCGGACCUGACUGCUAUCGGAUUGGUACUAAGCCAUGCGAGUCAUUGUAGCAAUACAAGGCGGACGGCUCAGUAACACGUAGUCAACCUAACUCGUGGACGUGGAUAACCUCGGGAAACUGAGAAUAAACCACGAUAGAUCAUAGUGCCUGGAAUGGCUUAUGGUCCAAACAGUUUACUGCCAUGGGAUGGGACUGCGGCCUAUCAGCUUGUUGGUGAGGUAAUGGCCCACCAAGGCGAUUACAGGUACGGGCUCUGAGAGGAGAAGCCCGGAGAUGGGUACUGAGACACGGACCCAGGCCCUAUGGGGCGCAGCAGGCGAGAAACCUUAGCAAUGUGCGAAAGCACGACUGGGUCAGUCCGAGUGAUUCCUGAUAAAGGAGUCUUUUGCUUGUCCUAAAAGCACAGGUGAAUAAGGGGUGGGCAAGUCUGGUGUCAGCCGCCGCGGUAAUACCAGCACCUCGAGUGGUCAGGACGUUUAUUGGGCCUAAAGCAUCCGUAGCCGGCUCUGCAAGUCUUCGGUUAAAUCCACCUGCUCAACAGAUGGGCUGCUGGAGAUACUACAGAGCUAGGGAGUGGGAGAGGCAGACGGUAUUCAGUGGGUAGGGGUAAAAUCCUCUGAUCCAUUGAGGACCACCAGUGGCGAAGGCGGUCUGCCAGAACACGUUCGACGGUGAGGGAUGAAAGCUGGGGGAGCAAACCGGAUUAGAUACCCGGGUAGUCCCAGCUGUAAACGAUGCAAACUCGGUGAUGCAUUGGCUUAUGGCCAAUGCAGUGCCGCAGGGAAGCCGUUAAGUUUGCCGCCUGGGAAGUACGGACGCAAGUCUGAAACUUAAAGGAAUUGGCGGGGGAGCA